GCCGGCUUAGCUCAAUGGUAGAGCAACUGACUUGUAAUCAGUAGGUUGUAGGUUCGAGUCCUAUAGCCGGCUCCA
rnacentral:tRNA from 1 species